UGGCAGAUACCGGCCCAUUCGCUCGGGAGCCAAUCCUGAGGCAGAGAGGCAGGCGGCGAGUCGCCAGGCCGCCGUGGGUGGCCGUACUCAGCACGGGGACAAGGACUCCUUGAUGAUGACAGACGGUGUCCUUUGAGUCCUGGCCCCCAUGACAUCCAAAGACAAAGCAGUGAUGUCCUUGCCAGUUUCUCCCUGGGAUGCCAUCCUUGAGGCUGCCAAAAACCAGCUUCCAUCUCUGGAUUCAGACUCGUCCCUGUCUGACUGUGAGGAAGAAGAGCUCUUCAUCUUUCAGCGGAACGAGCCCGUCCUGAUUCCAGACCUGACUGAGGAGCUGGCUGAAGACCCUGUUGGUGUCGAUGAGUCAGGGACCUGGGUUACUGCAGGGAGGAGUCCUUCACCUGAGCCACUUCUGAUUCCUGGGAGAUUAGCCACAGAACCCAGAAGUGAAUGGAUGGUAAGAUCAAAGGACUUGGCCCAUCAGGAAAGAAGAGACCCUGGCUGGUCCUGCUGUGUCAAGAGCAGCCCAGUCCUUGUGGAUGCUGAGGAGGCGCACAGCUGGCUGGAAGGAAACCUUAGAAGCCUGUCUAACCCCAGAGGAUCCCUGAGUCCUCCAUGGUGUUCCCAGGGAGAAGAAGCCACCUUUCCUUCAGCAGGAGAGCUGGAGACAGAGCCCUCAGAUACUGACUGUAGAAAUUCUGCGAAGCGCAGAGCCCUCCGCAGGGAUAGGAGGAAAAAGAGAGAGAGAUCCUUCAGAAAGUGACCCAGGCUGCUCAGAGCCCAGCCUGUGGUGACCAAAGCCAGGCUGCAGAGGUAGGACCCCAGCAAGAAGCAACCUUGGAGCAGUCUCAGGAAGGAUGGCCAGUUCUCUCCCUCAAGCAACUUGAAAGCUGGGACUUGGAUUACAUCCUUCAGAGUCUGCCAGGCCGACAAGACAGCCAGGGCAACAGUGCAUCCAGAAGUGCAUGGUGGUUAGCUGACCGCUGCCAAGACCAAGGACACAGCUCUGGACCCUCCCAGGACAUGCUCCUGGAACAGCUGGCCCUCCUGUGUGCCACUCAGUCCAGAGUCUGCAACCCUACCUGGAAAGUAUCUGCUGACAAGCUCCAAGACACACAAGAACAGGUCGCCGGAAUUAGAAAUGCUUCAGCAGAGCCUGGCUUUCAAACUGAGCAAAUCCAGAAACCAGCAGAGAGUAGGAGGCUGAAGACAGAACCCCCCACCAUCUUCAUGGACCUGCGGCAGACAGAACCAUCAGAACCACCAGAACACCAGUCUCAGGAGAGCUCUGAGCAUAGCUCCUCUGACAGUGAGGAGGAGGAAGUGGAGUCAGCAGGCUCAGCACAGGCGACAUCUUCCUGGGAACAAAGGUACUGUACUGGGAAGAGUCAGCUUCUUCAGCAGCUGAGGGCGUUUCGGAAGGGGGCUGUUCCACCCCAGCGCUCUGCCAGUGACAGUCCUGGAAGCCAAAAGACUCAGGCCUCAGAAGAUACAGCCGGAUCACAAACUCGUAGAAAGAAGCACAUAAAACCCUGGGCCGAGAAGCAGAAUGCCCUAGAUCUAGGGGACCCUCUUGGGACACAGCUGCUCCCUGGGUUGGGGCAGCUAUAGGCAACUCAGGUAAAAGACCUGAGAAGCAGAUUGGGUGGCAGACUUUCUACCACGCAGCCCUGGCGGUCUCUCCAGUAUCCUGUUUCUAACAGCCUGGACCUCAGGGGCUGGGACCCUCAGUCUAGACCCCACGCAGCCAGCUCAAGCAUAGUUAAACCUUUGUUGUGGUGUUGACAACUGCAUCCGGGGCCUCUCCCGAUCCCAUAUUUAAACACAUUUAUAGUUUCCUAUAGAAAAUUUCACCAGGUUCCUGGAUUCCUGGCAUUUCAUGUACCCGAGUACAUACAUACAGAUCUGAUGGAAAGGGAGCAAAACCAGAAAUUUGCUUUCUCUCUCUUUUUAACCGAGACACAAAAGCACACAUAGGUUUCAGGCCACUCCAAAUCAAAGGCGGCACCAAUCUUUGCUGGUCUGAAUGGAAUACCAUACUUCCUGGGAGUUCUAACACUGUGUGAAAUGCAGUGGUACCCAGUCUCCCUUCCUGGGUACCCAGUAACAGCUGUGUGAUCGGCCAAGUCCUGGUCCUCACGGGACACCUGAGCUUCCUCCACCUGUUACUUUGCAAGCCUGGCCCCACCACCAACACCCCGCAGACUCCAUCUUUAGGACUAUUUUGUACCUGCUGUCUGAGCCCCUUUGGUUUCCUGCCACCUCAUCUCUCAAGUCUGCUCCAGGCUGCUCCAUGAAAGAGCAGAGAAACCACUAUGGAGGCAGGGUGUGGGUGGUGUGGGAGGGUGCUUGGUAUCUAACAUGUUUUAGCAUUUGGAUGGAGGGGUGGUGCUACUGCCAGCUGCCCGGCUGCUAAAGAUAAGCAAGAAUCUGUGUCAGGCUUUGAGCCACACAAAGAUCAGGUCCUAUGGCAGGUCACUGGUAGGCAGCAUUAAGCCCACAUAAUCCUGUCCACAAACCCACAGGGGAUGCUACCAUAGUUCCAAUCCCAAGACAUGUCCUUUAGAAGCCACAUGCAAGUUGGGCCUCUGCCAAGACCACAGGUAGCCUCCCUGUACACGGACUCCAGCCUGCCCUGCCCACGUGCUGAGGUCCCAUGCUUGAACUCCAGGGCAGCAUGACUCCUCCCUCUGCCCAGCAGCCUUCACUUCAUCCACUUAACUGUCAAGAGCAAAGGCAUCCACUGUUCCCAAGCCACACUUUCCCAGCUCAUAAUGUCAGAAAGCUUGCUGAGAAUGACUCACAGUGACAGAAAAUAAACUCUACUGCAGUUUCA